rnacentral:rRNA from 1 species
UAGGGAAUCUUCCACAAUGGGCGAAAGCCUGACGGAGCAAUGCCGCGUGGAGGUGGAAGGCCUACGGGUCGUCAACUUCUUUUCUCGGAGAAGAAACAAUGACGGUAUCUGAGGAAUAAGCAUCGGCUAACUCUGUGCCGG